rnacentral:rRNA from 1 species
UAGGGAAUCUUCCACAAUGGACGCAAGUCUGAUGGAGCAACGCCGCGUGAGUGAAGAAGGUUUUCGGACCGUAAAGCUCUGUUGCUGGUGAAGAAGGAUAGAGGUAGUAACUGGCCUUUAUUUGACGGUAAUCAACCAGAAAGUCACGGCUAACUACGUGCCAGCAGCCGCGGUAAUACGUAGGUGGCAAGCGUUGUCCGGAUUUAUUGGGCGUAAAGCGAGCGCAGGCGGAAGAAUAAGUCUGAUGUGAAAGCCCUCGGCUUAACCGAGGAAUUGCAUCGGAAACUGUUUUUCUUGAGUGCAGAAGAGGAGAGUAGAACUCCAUGUGUAGCGGUGGAAUGCGUAGAUAUAUGGAAGAAUACCAGUGGCGAAGGCGGCUCUCUGGUCUGCAACUGACGCUGAGGCUCGAAAGCAUGGGUAGCGAACAGGAUUAGAUACCCUGGUAGUCCAUGCCGUAAACGAUGAGUGCUAAGUGUUGGGAGGCUUCCGCCUCUCAGUGCUGCAGCUAACGCAUUAAGCACUCCGCCUGGGGGAGUACGACCGCAAGGUUGAAAC